rnacentral:rRNA from 1 species
UAGGGAAUCUUCCGCAAUGGACGCAAGUCUGACGGAGCAACGCCGCGUGAGUGAAGAAGGAUUUCGGUUCGUAAAACUCUGUUGUUAGAGAAGAACAGCGCAUAGAGUAACUGUUAUGCGUGUGACGGUAUCUAACCAGAAAGCCACGGCUAACUACGUGCCAGCAGCCGCGGUACUACGUAGGUGGCAAGCGUUGUCCGGAUUUAUUGGGCGUAAAGCGAGCGCAGGCGGUCAAUUAAGUCUGAUGUGAAAGCCCCCGGCUCAACCGGGGAGGGUCAUUGGAAACUGGUUGACUUGAGUGCAGAAGAGGAGAGUGGAAUUCCAUGUGUAGCGGUGAAAUGCGUAGAUAUAUGGAGGAACACCAGUGGCGAAGGCGACUCUCUGGUCUGUAACUGACGCGGAGGCUAGAAAGCGUGGGUAGCAAACAGG